GUUCGAUUUUGACUACGGCAUAAAAAUCUCAACUCCAAUCUCUCAACUUGUCUCGACCACACAAAUUCGAGCCAUUUAGUGACUGUGCUUUGUGCUGACUUAUUUAUGUAAAAACAGAUUCUAAACUGUUUCAGUAGUUUUCUGGACAUAAGUAGGGUCGAAAAGGUCAAGAUUAGGAGUGUGCUUCCACAAAUUCGGCCAUCGGGAAGAAAGAAUGCUAGUGGCGGCAGCUUCUCUCGUUGAUAGGAAAGACAGGAUUGUGAAGAGGAUGUCAUCAGGUAACUCACUUAUCCGAUCAACCACUACUCCAUUCCCCCGCUAAUCAUCAACAAAAUCAAAUCCUAGUCAAUAUUCCGUUUUCGUGUAUCCCACAAAAAUAAUCUAAUUAUUUUUAUUCUCUAAUCACUUUUUUUUUUUUCUCUUUACUCAAUUAUGCACUAAAACUUGUGACGCCCCCAAAGUAUUGAUUUUUAUGGGACGGGGAACGGCAACUGGCUAUAGAAAGCUUACCUGUUUCUUUGUGUGUUGCUGUUGUUUCUGUUUCUGUUUCUUUUUCUUACGCUUGCAGGGCUCCAGCUGGUUUGAGUCCAUCAAUUUCUAUACUGGAGAAUUACAUAACACAUUCAAAGGAUUUGUUAACUGGUUUGCAAUCGAAAAUUAUAUACUUUAGUUGUGCACAAAGAAAAGAGGAUUGAAUAAUAUGUUCACAACUCUAAUUUCACGCAAAUUACAUGAACGUAAUUCCAUAAUUUUAAGAGCAAAAAAUUUAUAAAAAUAAAAAACCUACGUGAGAAGAAAAGUUUCUUGCCGUUGUCGGAUCGCUCAACCCUAAACUAAACUAUGAUUCUUAUUUAUGGAGAUUGUGUAUCUGAUAUCUUCUUAUAUGUAAUUGGAUUUGGUGAUAUCUUUACUUAUAUUGAAAUGUAAUUUAAUUAGUUUAUGGAGAUUUAUUUA